rnacentral:lncRNA from 1 species
GAAAAGUUCCCUCUUUAUGGUGUGUCUCCCAAUAUCUCCACCUUCAACUCUCUCGUGAAAGGCCUCUGCAAGAACGGGGACCUCGUGGGCGCAAGUAGGGUUCUGAAGAUGAUGGUGGGAAGGAGCAUUCUUCCCACGCCGAGCACCUAUAAUUAUUUCUUCAGGUUUUUCUCCAAGUUUGGAAAGAUUGAAGAAGCAAUGAAUCUCUACACCAAGAUGAUUCAUUUGGGAUAUUUCCCUGAUCGACUCACGUACCAGCUACUGAUCAAAAUGUUAUGCGAGAAAGAGAAGUUGGAUUUGGCCGUGCAACUGAUCAGGGAGAUGAACAGGAACGGUUUUGAUCUGGACUUAGAUACUUGCACUAUGUUGGUGCAUUUGCUUUGUCGAACGCACAGGUUUGAGG